UAUAGUAGAGAAUAGCCCGGCGAAAAGUCGGAUUAAUGCUCUAUGUUGUAUUUAGAAGACAUCUGAAGAAUACCAAAGGUUUACCGCUAUAGGAUGGGGAUGCGUCUGAUUAGGUAGUAGGCGGGGUAACGGCCCACCUAGCCGACGAUCAGUAGGGGUUCUGAGAGGAAGGUCCCCCACAUUGGAACUGAGACACGGUCCAAACUCCUACGGGAGGCAGCAGUGAGGAAUAUUGGUCAAUGGACGGAAGUCUGAACCAGCCAAGUAGCCGUGCAGGAUGACGGCCCUAUGGGUUGUAAACUGUCUUUUAUAUAGGGAUAAAGUCGGGGACGUGUCCCCGUCUGUAGGUACUAUAUGAAUAAGGACCGGCUAAUUCCGUGCCAGCCGCAGC
rnacentral:rRNA from 1 species